GGCCUCCCUGCCCCGAUUCAUUGACAUGUGAGGGGACCUCAGCUGGUUGUGGAAUUCACGGGUCAGGAGAUGUUGCUGAAGGAGCUUUGGUGCUGACUUUCAAGAACUGAACAAAUCCUGGCCUUGACACUGAGUCAUAUUUUGGGCACGGAGAUGGAUUUCCUUAUUCUGUUUCUCAUUUACUUGGCUGUUUGUCUCUUCUGCAUGGUGGUUGCCAUCAAAUUUUCAAGACAAAGUCAGGAAUGUUUCGCAAGGAUCUCGCACUACAUCACUCUGGUGAUUGGACCAGUGAUUCCUCGAUGGUUACAGUUAGCAGUGCAGCUUACUUUACAUAGGUUCGUCCACCAGAGGAACUCCUUUUUCCUGGUUUUGCACCUUCUUUUAGAAGUAGCUGUGUAUGGAGAAUAUUCAUGGGAAGUGUAUCCUUACUGCAUGGAACUGGGAUUCGGACAUAGUAUCUUGCUGCUGCCUUACAUCCUGCUGCUCGGGAAGAUGUACUUUUUCUAUCUAUGCUGCUCCAGAGACCCUGGUACGAUUUCUCCAUCAAACCAUAAGCAGCUGCUGAAGGUGUACACGUAUGAUGGAAUUUUGUAUCAUCAGGCCCACAUCUGCCCUACGUGUGAACUUGCAAAGCCUGCAAGGUCAAAGCACUGCCGUGUGUGUAACCGGUGCGUCCAUCGAUUUGACCACCAUUGUGUCUGGGUGAAUAACUGCAUUGGGGCAUUAAAUAUACGCUACUUCCUGUUGUACCUGGUGACGCUGUCUGGAAUGGCUGCUGCAGUGGGAACAGUGACUGUAAGGUUCCUUGUCCAGGUGGCGCUGCUGUCCAACUUGCAUCAGGCGAUGUAUGUGAAUGCUGAUGGUGAACACGUGCCUGUCGGUAUCCUGUAUAUAGUCCAGAAACUGUUCCUGACCUUUCCUCGGAUCCUUUUCAUGCUGGGCUUCACACUCCUCAUCUUCUUUCUGCUGGCAGGUUAUACUGCAUUUCACUUCUAUUUGCUGAUGACCAAUCAGACUUCAAAUGAGUGGUACAAACAUAAGAACAGUUGCCAGUGCCACAUGGACAACAGCAGGCCAGACAAAUGCCUGCAGGGUAACACCUAUCAUAGAGGAUACCUCAGAAAUGUGAAAGAAAUCCUAAGCCCUGAGACACAACAGAAAAAAGUCAGAUAACAGGGACAGAAGUGGACAUUUGUACACUCUCAGAGAAAGUCUUCUGUUCAAUUGUGAAAUGGUUGUACAAGAGAGAACAUCUUUGGCACUUGUGCAGGAUUGGGGACUUUUUCGACAACAUCCAUGGCUGCCUCCAAC